AGCAGGGGAUCAAAUACUUUUUUCCCUCACUGUAGGUUCGUAUUAACGCUCGGUAAUACAAUUAUUCUCGCAGUAACAUUUACGGAGCAUGUAUCAGCGUGUUUAUGUCAGGUCUUCAAAUUCAGAUCGCAACACAGAAUACAGUUCUUAUAAAAAAGAUUAUUACGCAUGAAAUCAGGAAAGAAACACACAACCACUUCUGCGUUAAUUAAUUUUAUUCUAAACGAAACCUUAACUUUACAUGCGAACUCUCAAGCUUGGAAUUUUCAACACAGCAUCAACACAGUAAACAUCAACGAUUGCGUUGUAUCACUUUGGCAACUGCACAUAUGAUUAAUUCCACCGCGUAACGCGAGCUUAAUUGGUGAUAGAGAGAGUCGUUAAAACAUGCAUGUGCUCUAUUCUAAACAAAAACCUUAACACUCUAAUAUGCAAAUUCUUGUACUUGAAAUUGUCAGCACAGUACUACAGGCGAUGUUCAUUCAUUGAUCCAUCUUUUCAACCCUCAAUAAUCACGUUGUUAAUUGGGUAACAGAACAAUUGAUUAUUUCCUCUGAGUACCACGAGCAUACGGAAAAUACGAAUAAAAAGUCCUUAAAAGUUCAUCCGACGAUAUUCAUGCGAAAAGGCAGUCAAAACAAUUAUUAUUCUCUAAGGCACAAAUAUACGUAAAUAGAUUCAUCGGCAAGAUUAUAUAAUUAAAGAAAUGGCUUAGAGUAAGGGCGUGCGAUGGUGUGCGUGUUCUCCCACGAGAUCCUUAACUUGGGCCGAACUUUAAUUAAUUUGUGGACAAGAUUGUCUGAUAAGGAAACCGGUUUACACGCUCAUUUCCCCGUGAGCGUAGAGUUUCGUGGCGAAGGUUUCAAAGGCUUAAUUUAUAUUGAUGAAUCUAUUGGUAAUUUAUGCGAUUGGAAGUACAAAUUACAAAAAAAAUUAAUGUACUUAAAACGACGUAUUCUCAUCACUCGGUGAGCCGCGACGCCUUCGCGGCCACUGAUGGUUCACGUACUUGACGAUUAGGCUUCUUAAUGAAUAUGGCUUCAGUUUGGAGUUCGACAAAGCUGACCCAAUACCAGCCAGCAGAGAAUGUGGCUGGAUCCCCGUAGCAGAACGCAGAGUGAACAGCCGGAUCGUGGGAGGCUACGAAGCAAGGCUCUGAGAAUGGCCCUGGCAAGAGAGCCUGCACAACUUCAACAGACUGACCUGUGGGGGCUCCCUCUUCAGUGACCGCUGGGUUGUGAGUGCUGCUCAUUGCUUCCAGAGUAACAACCCAAACACCUGGACGGUAUACCUGGGCUUGCACUCUCAGAACGAUCUCAGCGCUUCAACUGUCGUGGCCGGAAGCGUCAACAGAAUCCUCAUCCACGAGUG